ACAUUAGCUCAUUUGGUUAGAGCAAAAGACUGAUAAUCUUUGGGUAGCUGGUUCAACUCCAGCAUGUGCU
rnacentral:tRNA from 1 species